AUUUCAGGCACCAUCAUAGCUAAGGCACAGCUGUUUAUUCUGAGCUAAUUGGAGCAGAGUUAAAACCAAGAGAAGUAAACUGCAAGAAAGUAAAGUUUGAGAAGAAAGAGGAUAACCUCUUCAGUGAACAAAUGUCAAGCAUACGGUACAGCAUAGGAUGCAAUACAAGCUUUCCUGUGCCCCUCUUCAGGGGAAAGGAACUGAGCUCUUGCUGCACUGAAAUUCCUGGAAGCAUCCUGAACCACCUACUGUGGCUGCUCAGAAGAUAUACAACAACUUUAUCCAUGAAUCUCCAGGACAGCUUACUAGGAAGUAUAGCUCCUGCUCAACGAUAUUUCUAGAUGACAGCACACUCAGCGAGCCUAGUCGUAGAAAAACAGUAGAAUG
rnacentral:lncRNA from 1 species